ensembl:lncRNA
UUUGAGUACCACUUGGGGGGCAGUCAGAUGCGUUCACAGGCGGAGAAGAUGGCAGCCAUUGGAUCCUGCCCUGACGAGCCCGUCGGCUGAUCUCACCUGAAGAUCGCGCCCCAGAUCUGGUCCAGUGGAUGGAACGCUGGCCAGGCAGCAUUUGCACAGACCCGACACCUCAAAGAGAGGGCUGCCGUUUUGUCCCAGCAGGUAAGGGGGGUCGACCACCCGAGAGUGUACAUCCGCAAGAAGCUGACCCACCGAGAAACGUGGUACAGCACCAUGGAGAAGGAGUGUCUGGCGAUCUUGUGGGCAGUUGAUUCACUACGCUAUUACCUCGUGGGAUGCUCAUUCACCCUCCGCUCAGACCACAGGGGGCUCUCCGAAAUGACCAAGAAAAUGGAAACAAGAAAAAGCACGACUCCAGCAGAUAAGAAAGAUUCAGAUCAAGAUUGUAAGACCAGGACUGCUAAAAGAAAGGCCAGUCCUGAAAAGAAGACCCCAAUAAAAAGGAGGAGGGUCGCUGAGCAGGCUGGUCCUUCCACCAGCUCGGAUGUGGUCAAAGGAGUGAAGCGCAAGGUUGUGCAAGAUGGAGAGGGCACAACGAACCAAGCAAAGAAGGCUAAACUUCUCGACCAUAUGAGUGGUGACAAGGAGCAAGCGUCUUCCUCGCUGGACACUGGUAAAGGUAGGCUAAUUAGUUGAGUGAGGGGUAGAUUAAGUGUGGUUGCUAGGUUUAAGAUAUUGGUGUUUAGUGUUUGGGAGACAUUUGAGUCUAUCAUCCAGUGAGCUGGUGUGCUUUUGGUGUUUUCCACAUCUGCAGACUUGAACAACAAACAAGUGUGUCCAAGAAAUGGUAAA